AUUUAUCCUAACUACCAAAAGUAUAAAAUAAACAGUUAACAGAGCAUGGGGUAGAUAAUAUGAAGGUUCGUUUCGUGUGUAUUUUAGUCCAGACGCCAUCUAAUUAACUAUCGAUUUGACCUCAGAUGACCAUAUAAGCGAUGUAAACAUGAAUAAAGAUAUGAAUAGAUUAAACCAACACGUGCAAUUGGAUUUUUUUUAGGUCUGGUUGAGUUUAUUUUAUAGAUUAAAAAUAUAUGUUUCUCAUUGUUUUUAACCGUAUAAGAAUGAUUUUAUAUAGAUCGAAUCAGUAAUCAAAUGAUUUACC
rnacentral:lncRNA from 1 species